rnacentral:rRNA from 1 species
CCCUUAGAUGUUCUGGGCUGCACGCGCGCUACACUGAAGCGUUCAACGAGUAUUCACCUUGCCCGGGAGGGUUGGGUAAUCUUUUGAAAACGCUUCGUGAUGGGGAUAGAUUAUUGCAAUUAUUAAUCUUCAACGAGGAAUUCCUAGUAAGCGCGAGUCAUCAGCUCGUGCUGAUUACGUCCCUGCCCUUUGUACACACCGCCCGUCGCUCCUACCGAUUGAGUGGUCCGGUGAGGCUUUGGGAUCUGAGCAAAGAGAGCGUUUCGCUCGUUUUGCCCGGAAAACUCAGUCGAACCUUAUCAUUUAGAGGAAGGAGAAGUCGUAACA